GACAGAGGUGCCAAGCGUAGGCGGAAUCACUGGGCUUAAAGGCGUGAUGUAGGCGGAAUUGUAAGUACCUUGUGAAAUCCCACGGCUCAACCGUGGAACUGCUGCGGUAUACUGCUUUUCUUGAGCCACUUAGGGGCUGUCGGAACAAACGGUGGAGCGGUGAAAUGCGUAGAUAUCGCCUGGAACGCCGACGGUGAAAACAGAUGACUGGGGGUGUGCCGACGCUGAGACACGAAAGCCAGGGGAGCAAACGGG
rnacentral:rRNA from 1 species